rnacentral:lncRNA from 1 species
UUAAAUAACUUGCUAUUGUAAUUUACCUAAUCAGACCACCUGGAAAUAAAGAAAGAAGAAACCAAAGAAUGAAGGCCACUCUGAAGAUGACAAGAUCCCAGAAUUCUCAAGCCCAAAGGAGACAUCGUAGGAAUCACUUUGCCCAGUCGAGAUGCCAUGUCUCAGGACAGUGGGUUCUGAAGAUGGAGACUGACUUCAUGGACUAACGUCAUUCCUGUUCCCUGUCAUUGAAGGGUGCACAUUAUCUCUGCUUUAUGCCCUGGACGAGGAAAUAUUCUCCAAUAAAGGUAGC